GGCCACCACAGCACAAAAAGGCUUCCAUGUAAUUCGAGAAAGCCUGGCUCUUUCUCAUCUCCUCUUCCUUGUCUUCUUUAUCUCUCUCUCUCUUCUCGUUGCUUCUCUCGCAACGCUCGAAAACUCCAACCCAAUUCAUCCCCACUCUCUCGCUCUCUGUUGGAGGUCAAUCGGAGGGAGGACUCGGGCGAUGGUGAUGAUGGGCAUCGAGAGGCUGGUGGGGAGCCUGAAGUCGAAGCUGAGGUCGCUGAAGCUGAAGAAGCCGCUCUACGACAAGAUCGAGAAGAGCGACAGCAUGCGGGUCGAGAUCAGAAGCAGGAAGGCCCGCAAGCUCAUCGAGGAGACCCUCAAGGUCGCCGACUCCCCCAAGAGCAGGAGCGUAGCCUUUUGAAUUCCCGUCCCCACCUCCAUCCAAUGAUUAACUUUUUCGUGUUUUCUCUCGGGCGAACGAUGUCGGUGGUGCUUUCUUGUCUGUAGGUAUUAAGAUUUUCGAAAGGCGUGAUUGCGUAGGAGUGAAUUUUCUCUCGAA